rnacentral:rRNA from 1 species
GAGCGGCCGAUGUCCGAUUAGCUUGUUGGUGGGGUAACGGCUCACCAAGGCGACGAUCGGUAGCUGGUCUGAGAGGAUGAUCAGCCACACUGGGACUGAGACACGGCCCAGACUCCUACGGGAGGCAGCAGUGGGGAAUUUUGGACAAUGGGGGAAACCCUGAUCCAGCCAUGCCGCGUGAGUGAAGAAGGCCUUCGGGUUGUAAAGCUCUUUUGGCCGGAAAGAAAAGGCCACGGAUAACACCCGUGGUUCUUGACGGUACCGGCAGAAUAAGCACCGGCUAACUACGUGCCAGCAGCCGCGGUAAUACGUAGGGUGCGAGCGUUAAUCGGAAUUACUGGGCGUAAAGCGUGCGUAGGCGGUCCCCCAAGUCCGCUGUGAAAGCCCCGGGCUUAACCUGGGAAUGGCAGUGGAAACUAUGGGACUUGAAUCUGGCAGAGGGGGGUGGAAUGCCACGUGUAGCAGUGAAAUGCGUAGAGAUGUGGCGG